AUGGCGUCCACCAAGGUGCAGCGGAUCAUGACCCAGCCCAUCAACCUCAUCUUCCGCUUCCUCCAGAGCGUACGCCCCUCCCUUUCUCCUCCUCCCCCAUUCUUUCCUCGUGCUCGCGCCUCGGUUUCGCUGACCCCGUUUCCUCCGCCCGAGCAGAAGGCGCGCAUCCAGAUCUGGCUCUUCGAGCAGAAGGACGCGCGGAUCGAGGGCAGGAUCAUCGGCUUUGAUGAAUACAUGAAUCUGGUCUUGGAGGAUGCUGAGGAGAUCAACAUCAAGAAAAACACUAGGAAGUCUCUCGGUCGGAUCCUCUUGAAAGGGGAUAACAUUACACUAAUGAUGAACACGGGAAAGUAA
rnacentral:rRNA from 1 species